ACAGCAUGGAUGAACCUUCAGAACAAUGUGGCUGUUUCUGGGCAGGGAAGACAAAUCCUAAUCAAUAAGUUGAUUCAUUUAAGUUUUAACAUCAUUUGGUAUAAUUGCCAUCAAUACUAUGAGCUCACCAUCUCUUCUGAAUGGCAGAUCAAGCUGGGGCAUCUGGAAAAUCAGCAGGACCUUGGAAUUUGCUGGUGGAAGUUAAGUUUCAGAAGGGUCACAACUUGUGAGCUACUGUGAAGUGGCAUCAGGAGGCUUGUCUGAAAUGGGAACAGAAGAUUGUGGCACAGGAUGUGGAUGGUGUGGUGGAUAACAAUACGGCCAGCUGAGGUGGACAGAGGAUGUUUAGGGAAGGGGUGUGCCUUUUGUAAGUUCCUACACUGCAAGGUUCAACUGGAUACAGAUUUCUAUGUCCACCUAACCUUUCUCACAGAUGUAAUCACACAUAAGGGAGCACAAAACUAGGCUUGAACUAUUCCCAAAAGCAUCAGUGAUGCUGACCCAGAGCUGUAUUUUCAAAACAACUCUUCAGCUGACUGUACGUAGUUCAUUUUCCUAUUUGCCUAUGCCCUUAUAAAGAGUACCCCUUGAUUACAUUCUUCUCAAUGACUGAAUUUA